GAAAGCAAGAACUUGAUUCUGCAUUGGUGGAUAUGAUUGUAAUGGAUGCACAACCAUUUUCAAUUGUUGAAGACAAAGGCUUCAAGGCUUUUGUCAACCUUUUGGACCCAUCCUACAUAAUUCCUAAUAGGAAGGCCUUGAGGACAAUGGUGAAGGAGAAGUACAAAGCUAAAAAGGAGAACGUCGGUGACCAGCACAAGUGCCAGUGCAACAGUGGAGGUUCAGAGGUACAGUAAAGAUUAGAAUCCUCAUCAUAACUUCUGCUCAUUUUAGACUGGUGCAUGACAAUAGGCUAUUAAUGUCCUUCUAGGUACUUAAAAGAACCUCACAUCCCAAGGACUCAGGACCCACUGAGAUACUGGGUUACCCACAGGGUUUUAUACCCACAUCUCUACAAGCUGGCAAUGAAGUUUUUAUGCACACCAGCUUCAUCUGUGCCUUGUGAGAGGAUCUUCUCCAAGGCUGGCGAAAUCGUCAGCCAAAGACGAAACAGGCUGAAGCCCAGCACAGUGGAGAAAAUUCUGUUUUUAAAUAAAAAUCUAUAACAUGUA